AUGUUCUCCACAUCCCUUCUGCUGCUGGCUGCUGUGAGCUGUGUUUACUGUGUCGAGCUGAUCCAGCCUGGAUCCAUGGUCAAAAAUCCUGGCCAGUCGAUGUCACUGACCUGUACAGUUUCUGGAUACUCACUGACCAGCUACUGGACACACUGGAUACGACAGCCUGCAGGAAAAGCUCUGGAGUGGAUUGGACAGACAUAUGCAGCUGGAACCUCUUACUACAGUGAUAAACUGAAAAGCAGGUUUCAACUUGCUGUGGACACGUCCAGCAGCACAGUGACCUUAAGCGGACAGAAUCUGCAGACUGGCGACACGGCUGUGUAUUACUGCGCUCGUGAAGGACACAGGAAUAAAAGUGUAGAGGAGUCCCUUCACUCUGCUCUCCUACAAAAAGACACUGGAGUGGAUUGGGGUUAUCUGGGAUGA